AGCGAACGCUGGCGGCAGGCCUAACACAUGCAAGUCGAACGAACCUUUCGGGGUUAGUGGCGGACGGGUGCGUAACACGUGGGAACGUGCCUUUAGGUUCGGAAUAACUCAGGGAAACUUGUGCUAAUACCGAAUGUGCCCUUCGGGGGAAAGAUUUAUCGCCUUUAGAUCGGCCCGCGUCUGAUUAGCUAGUUGGUUGAGGUAAUGGCUCACCAAGGCGACGAUCAGUAGCUGGUCUGAGAGGAUGAUCAGCCACAUUGGGACUGAGACACGGCCCAAACUCCUACGGGAGGCAGCAGUGGGGAAUCUUGCGCAAUGGGCGAAAGCCUGACGCAGCCAUGCCGCGUGAAUGAUGAAGGUCUUAGGAUUGUAAAAUUCUUUCACCGGGGACGAUAAUGACGGUACCCGGAGAAGAAGCCCCGGCUAACUUCGUG
rnacentral:rRNA from 1 species